CGAGUUGGCCGGGCGACCGCGGCAUCGGGAACGGGCACAUUUGUGCCGCCGCCCGGAGUCGAGGAAAGUCCGGACUCCACAGAGCAGGGCGGUUGCUAACGGCAACCCGGGGCGACCCGCGGGACAGUGCCACAGAGAACAGACCGCCCACGGCCUUUCGAGGUCGUGCGGUGAGGGUGAAACGGUGCGGUAAGAGCGCACCAGCGCCCCGGGUGACCGGGGCGGCUAGGUAAACCCCGCCCGGAGCAAGGUCGAAGGUCGCAUCGCUCGCGGUGCGGCUGCGCAGGUGUUCGAGGGCUGCUCGCCCGAGCCUGCGGGUGGACCGCUCGAGACACCCGGCGACGGUGUGUCCAGAUGGAUGGUCGCCCCCCGGUGCGAACCGGGGACAGGAUCCGGCUUACAGGCCAACUCGUCCG
rfam:Nocardia brasiliensis ATCC 700358, complete genome.